rnacentral:rRNA from 1 species
UACGAAGGGGGCUAGCGUUGCUCGGAAUCAUUGGGCGUAAAGCGCACGUAGGCGGAUCUUUAAGUCAGAGGUGAAAUCCCAAGGCUCAACCUUGGAACUGCCUUUGAUACUGGGGAUCUCGAGUCCGGAAGAGGUGAGUGGAACUGCGAGUGUAGAGGUGAAAUUCGUAGAUAUUCGCAAGAACACCAGUGGCGAAGGCGGCUCACUGGUCCGGUACUGACGCUGAGGCGCGAAAGCCAGGGGAGCAAACGGG